rnacentral:lncRNA from 1 species
GUGGAAAGGCUUUUACUGCUGAAAGCUAACAGUAGGACAUUCUAUGGAAUACCUGACCAGUACUCCUUGAAACUUCAGUCACGAAAAACAAGGAGAGACUGAGAAACUCUCAAGAACCAGAGGAGACCAAGGAGACACAAACACCAAAUGCAAUGUGAUAUCCUGGGUGGAAUGCCGGAACGGAAAAGGGACCUUAGGAGAAAAAUUCAUGAAAUCCGAAUAAAGUCUGGAGUUUAGUUCACAGCAAAGCACCAGUGUUGACAUCUUCAUUUUGGCAAAUGUUCCAUGAUGAUGUAGGAGGUUAACAUUAAGAGAACUGGAUAAGGGAUAUAUGGGAACUUUCUGUACUUUCUUUUCAACUUUUCUAUAAAUCUAGAAUUAUUAAACCCAAAUUGUAAAAGUUUAUUUUUAAAAGAUAGCAUUCAAAAACCGUCAGACAAAUGAGCUCCAAAUACAUCCAGAGAUGAGAAGAAAGACGGUGACCUGAUUCUGGAAGUUCAGAUGUCCAUGUUGGUGACCUGAUUCAGGAAGUCUUUCAGGAGGAUAUCAAGCUUGGAUCUUGGAUAGAACUGGGAUGCGAGGCACUGGUGAUUGGGCAAUAUCCCUGCCUGUAGGAUUCUUUGUGGAAUGCUGGAUAUUCAUAUUCUGGUCUUUUCUUAUCUCUGGUUGCCUCAGGGAAGUAAGAACCCAUCUGGGAAAGAGAGGACAGGACUGAAGAGGGACUCAAGGAAGUUGAGCUUACUGGAUUGGGGGUGAAUGUUAAAGUUCCAGUUUGAACAGAGCCCAAGCUGGAGACCAGGAGAAUCUAGAGGAAGGAGGUGACACAGGCCUGCUCCUAGUCUGAUGGGAAAACCUACGUUAUACCCUCAAAGAACCCCAAUCUGAUGGAGUUUUGCUGUUGUUGCCCAGAUUGGAGUGCAGUGGUACGAUCUCAGCUCACUGCAACCUCUGCCUCCUGGUUUCAAGCGAUUCUUCUGCCGCAGCCUCCUGGGUAGCUGGGAUUACAGGUAUCCGCCAUCACGCCCAGCUAAUUUUUUUGUAUUUUUAGUAGAGACGGGGUUUCAUCAUGUUGGUCAGGCUGGUCUUGAACUCCUGACCUCAGGUGAUCCACCCACCUCGACCUCCCAAAGUGCAGGGAUUACAGGCGUGAGCCACCGCGCCCGGCCAAGAGCUGUAAUUCUUUCCAACAUUCUGCGUGGUCUGUUGUAUGUGGCUGUGUGUGUCUAGAAGCCAUGUAGAUUUGGAAAUAGGGGACGUGUGGAUCAAUGAGAGAAGCCUGAUCUGGCUGUCAGGACACCUGGGUUCUUUCUGAGCUUGAGAAAGGGGAUCUUGCACAACGCCUCGGCCCUUCUGACUCUACAGCUAUAAAAUAGAGAUAUUAAGGCUGACGUCCCAGAGCUGUUGUGAGGAUUAAAGGAGAUGUCGUGUGUGUGGUGGUCAGCUCACAAUAGUUCUCCAGCAAAAGGGAGGGAGGCAGCUCUGUUCUGAUCUUUCCAACUACUGGUGGUGCCUGUGGUCUGUUUCCAGCCACGUCAUCCCGUGAUCCUUUCCAUGCAUGCACACAGAUGGAAGCCUGUUUAUGCAAAUAGCCACUUCUUUAGAUGAAGGGGGAGGGCAUCCCUUGGACCAUCCCGGGUCCCUUGGACCAGCUGGGAGUAACAGAUAAGCCAGGCUGCCUGGGUUUGAAUUCCAGCUCAGCCACUUGCUAGCUUUGUGACUUCAGGCAACUGACUUGACUUCUCUGUGCCUCUCUUUCCUCCUUUGAAAUUGGAGACAAUUGGAGCACCCAUCUCAGAG